rnacentral:ribozyme from 1 species
AGGUGGAAGCAGGCGCGGCGGUGGCGGCGGCGGCCCCUGACUCCGAGGCGGCCGCCGCCCAGCGCCGGUUGGCCGACCUGUGGACGAGCCUGCACGAGGGGACCUACACCGCGGAGGACCUGGCGGCCGCCCCGGACCUGGCGGAGGCUCUGUCCCGGAUGCAGGAGGAGGCCGGGGCACCGGG